UAUGAAUCGGCGACGGAUUAAAAUCGACUCGCACCAUGAAGUAGUUUCACUCCAUUCAGCGAAAUACUACCUCUCGAAAACCCUAAACGGAUUUGUUCCUACACAUCGAAGAGUUUCUCCACAAAUCUAUACUAAAGAUCUGUUCUCAUCUGUACAAUAGCAGAUAUGAGGCAACAAAAUGAACGGAAAGGGCGCCGAUGAAAGCGGUGGAAUGUCAUAUGGGUUUGUAAACUAACAGAGGACGUAAACUGAAGGUAUUAUACUACUGAAGAAGGAGAUAAAAGAAAGGAAAAGAAUGCCAAGAAGAUCUUUUAAAAGCAUGGAAUACAAAAGAGGUUCAUUGAAACCCUAAAAAAAGCAGCUGCAUCCUCUCUACCCAAACGAAAAAGUGAGAUGAAAAUAUCGACACAGGCUGGUAUCUACCUACACAGAGCUUGGAAAGGUGCAGAAGAGUGAUUCAUCCAUGAGAAACUCUUCAGCUACACCUGCAGAUGUGGAAAAUCGGUGCUAAUCAAAAGUUUUAUGCACAGAUUACCAAAUAUUUGAGGAUGAGAAACUAUGUAUCUCUACACAGUUUGAAGUGCAAAGGUUACCAAAGGAUUUAAGGAUGAGAAAUUUUGAAACUCUCACCGUCUAAGUGCAAAGGUUAUGAAUUUAUUUAAGGUACAUAUGGAAGGAGUGGUGUAUUAACAUGAGCACAACUAUCAGCAGCAUUGGGAACAUGGAAUUUACAUUGUUUAUUAAAUUUUCACAGAUUCACAUGUGCAGACACAAUUUCUGCAUUUAAUAGUGUAUUAUUUGUAAUAGAUAAACAACUAAAUGGACAAAAAAAAUAAGUACACAGCAACUCCCAUUUUUAAAAUGACCAUAAGGGUAAAUAAAGAUGCUUUGAAGUUUCCCGCCAAAAA